rnacentral:rRNA from 1 species
UGGGGAAUUUUGGACAAUGGGGGAAACCCUGAUCCAGCCAUCCCGCGUGUGCGAUGAAGGCCUUCGGGUUGUAAAGCACUUUUGGCAGGAAAGAAACGUCAUGGGUUAAUACCCCGUGAAACUGACGGUACCUGCAGAAUAAGCAUCGGCUAACUACGUGCCAGCAGCCGCGGUAAUACGUAGGGUGCAAGCGUUAAUCGGAAUUACUGGGCGUAAAGCGUGCGCAGGCGGUUCGGAAAGAAAGAUGUGAAAUCCCAGAGCUCAACUUUGGAACUGCAUUUGUAACUACCGGGCUAGAGUGUGUCAGAGGGAGGUGGAAUUCCGCAUGUAGCAGUGAAAUGCGUAGAUAUGCGGAGGAACACCGAUGGCGAAGGCAGCCUCCUGGGAUAACACUGACGCUCAUGCACGAAAGCGUGGGGAGCAAACAGG